AUAGUUGACAAAAACUUCAAGAGUGUUACCUCAGAACCUUUCUUUUGAGGGCUGAAAGCUAACUUGUCCUAGGGCCUGUGGUUUGAGUUUCUGUUCAAUAUGGCUGGAGAUGUGAAAACAGACAGUGACAACACCGUUAGUGAGUACUACAAUUCAGCUGCAAUCCAAUGCUUUUCUAUUUAAAAGCCAGAAACCCAAAUAACUACUGGCUACUCUUCUAGGAUGUUUGUUUUUCUUUUUUUCUUUUCUGUUUUUCGGAGCUGGGGACCGAACCCAGGGCCAAGCGCUCUACCACUGAGCUAAAUCCCCAACCCUGGCUACUCUUCUAGAAGACCCCAGUUCGUAUCCCAGUUCCCACUUAGACAGUUUUGCCCAAAGAAUCUGAUGCCCUCUUGUGGCUUCUUGGGGUACUAUACAUACAACAUGCAAAACACCCAUUCACUUAAAAUCUUGAAACAAGAAAAAUCCAAAAAACUUAAAAGUUGGGUAAAUCAAACCCGUAAUACCAUCUUUCACGUUCACUGUAUGUAUACUUUGUUUUCUGGUAUGCUGUGGGUCAGAUUAUUGAUAGGGAACUAGGUGUCAAGUUAGACUGGUCCCAGUGGAGCCUAACUCCCCUUCUGCAAUUGUCCACUGCAGGGUCCGUCUCAGUAAGCGCCGGGCCAAGGCUGGGGUUCAGUCGGGUACCAAUGCCUUGCUUGUGGUCAAACACCGUGACAUGAAUGAGAAGGAAUUAGAAGCCCAGGAGGCACGCAAGGCCCAGUUGGAAAACCACGAACCAGAGGAAGAGGAGGAGGAGGAGAUGGAGGCUGAAGAGAAAGAAGCUGGAGGCUCAG
rnacentral:lncRNA from 1 species